GGCAAUUUGGUCACAAAGGGGAGCUUAGAUUCAUUUGCACGUCCAGGAAUGCCAAGUUUAAUGAUAAAUAUAGCAGUAGACCCCUUGCCAAGACCUUCACUUUCAAUCCAAAUAUGUCCUUCCAUAAGAUUCACAAACCUCUUACAAAUUGCAAGACCAAGCCCAGUGCCACCAGAAUUUGUAGUUGCUAGCGCUUGGCUUUGUGUAAACUUGCUAAACAGGUUGGGAAUAUCCUGUGGUGUAAUUCCUAUCCCCGUAUCUUUUAUCUGCACCCGUAAAUAGAAGUGAUUUUCACUAGGCACAGCAAAAAAUUCAGGGGCUCUAGGAUCUCUUAAAGAGUCUGAUUUUGCAACAAAAGCGGAGAUUGAUACGUUGCCUUCCUUUGAGAACUUUACAGCAUUGCCAACAACGUUUAAGAGAAUUUGCAUUAACCGUUUUUCAUCCCCAAUUACAUAUUCCGGCAAAUCUGACGACAAACUAAGUGUGACGAACAGCUUUUUCACAGAUGCAAUAGGCUUGAUUAAGCUAUGGACCUCUCUAAAUAAAGCAUGGAGAUUGAAAGUGCCAAUAUCAAGUUGAAGACUUCCAUCCUCUAGCCUUGAAAGAUCCAAGACAUCGUUGAUGAGCGUUGCUAAAAGGUUGCUGCUUUUGAGGAUUGUUUCAACCAUCAGACGU
rnacentral:misc_RNA from 1 species